AGUGAACGCUGGCGGUAGGCCUAACACAUGCAAGUCGAACGGCAGCACAGUAAGAGCUUGCUCUUACGGGUGGCGAGUGGCGGACGGGUGAGGAAUACAUCGGAAUCUACUUUUUCGGGGGGGAUAACGUAGGGAAACUUACGCUAAUACCGCAUACGACCUACGGGUGAAAGCAGGGGAUCUUCGGACCUUUCGCGAUUGAAUGAGCCGAUGUCGGAUUAGCUAGUUGGCGGGGUAAAGGCCCACCAAGGCGACGAUCCGUAGCUGGUCUGAGAGGAUGAUCAGCCACACUGGAACUGAGACACGGUCCAGACUCCUACGGGAGGCAGCAGUGGGGAAUAUUGGACAAUGGGCGCAAGCCUGAUCCAGCCAUACCGCGUGAGUGAAGAAGGUCUUCGGGUUGUAAAGCCCUUUUGUUGGGAAAGAAAAGCAGCAGGUUAAUACCCCGCUGUUCUGACGGUACCCAAAGAAUAAGCACCGGCUAACUUCGUG
rnacentral:rRNA from 1 species